rnacentral:rRNA from 1 species
CAAUAGCGUAUAUUAAUGUUGUUGCAGUUAAAAAGCUCGUAGUUGAAUUUCUGGAAGGGUGCCAAUGUCCGCUGAGGCGGGUGCAGCGGCGCCCUUCCAUCCUUCUGUUAACUUUUCUUGGCAUUCAUUUGCUGGUUAAGGGCUCAGAUACUUUACCUUGAGAAAAUUAGAGUGUUUCAGGCAGGCUCGCGCCGGAAUACAUUAGCAUGGAAUAAUAGAAUAGGACUUUGGUUCUAUUUUGUUGGUUUCUAGGACCGAAGUAAUGAUUAAUAGGGAUAGUUGGGGGCAUUAGUAUUUAAUUGUCAGAGGUGUAAUUCUUGGAUUUAUGAAAGACUAACAUCUGCGAAAGCAUUUGCCAAGGAUGUUUUCAUUGA